rnacentral:rRNA from 1 species
GACGAACGCUGGCGGCGUGCUUAACACAUGCAAGUCGAACGGAAAGGCCCUGCUUGCAGGGUACUCGAGUGGCGAACGGGUGAGUAACACGUGGGUGAUCUGCCCUGCACUUCGGGAUAAGCCUGGGAAACUGGGUCUAAUACCGGAUAGGAGCCAUUUUUUGUGUGAUGGUUGGAAAGUUUUUUCGGUGUAGGAUGAGCUCGCGGCCUAUCAGCUUGUUGGUGGGGUAAUGGCCUACCAAGGCGGCGACGGGUAGCCGGCCUGAGAGGGUGGACGGCCACAUUGGGACUGAGAUACGGCCCAGACUCCUACGGGAGGCAGCAGUGGGGAAUAUUGCACAAUGGGCGCAAGCCUGAUGCAGCGACGCCGCGUGGGGGAUGACGGCCUUCGGGUUGUAGACUCCUUUCGCUAGGGACGAAGCUUUUUGUGACGGUACCUAGAUAAGAAGCACCGGCUAACUACGUG